rnacentral:rRNA from 1 species
UACGAAGGGGGCGAGCGUUGUUCGGAUUUACUGGGCGUAAAGGGCGCGUAGGCGGCGGGUCAAGUCGAGUGUGAAAGCCCCGGGCUCAACCUGGGAAUUGCGCUCGAGACUGGUCUGCUUGAGUUCGGGAGAGGAGAGUGGAAUUCCCAGUGUAGAGGUGAAAUUCGUAGAUAUGCGGAGGAACACCGAUGGCGAAGGCAAUCCCCUGGGCCUGCACUGACGCUCAUGCACGAAAGCGUGGGGAGCAAACAGG